AUGGCAGUCUUGAUAAGAAUGAUAAGAAGGAAGGAGAUGAGUGGAAUAACAACAAACAACAACCGGUCGGAAUUUAGCCUUGAAGGGGCCGAGGAGCCCCGAAACGCAUCGGCAAUUUUAAUUUAUUUUUCACAAAUCACUGAGACAGUACAAUAGAAAAAUGCAAAUGAAGUAAAUCAACUUACCCCGUUAAAAGUAUGUGAGCACUGCGAGCAAGAGAAACUUUUUCGCUUCAGAUGAAUUUUCCUAUGUUUUUCCAGCCCUUCAUGCGUUAUGAACGUUCUGGUGCAGUCAGGGCAUGGCACCUUACUCUUCAAAUGAGACUGCUCGUGCUGCUCUAGGUUGACCUUCCGAUUUAAAACCUAGGGGUGAACAAGAAAAUAUUCUUUAGUGAAGCUCUUGGAAUCGAAUAAACCUUCCUUCUUGAGAUGUUUGAUGCUCCCUGUUGUGCCACGAAUUUUCGUUGCUCAUCCAUGAAUUUUUGUGAUCUCUACACCGCUGCAAUGGACCCAACAUUCCGACAAUCGGUGCUGAACAUAGCAUUUAGACAGUGUUGUUGGUCCCCAGCCCUACAUGCAGAUGGAUGGAAACGUUACUUGCUUGCGCUGGAACUUGUGAUGCUGAUGGAACACAAAAACUGCUUACCGAAAACUUGGCACCACAAGAACCCUGAGUGCCAGGCCCUUGGCAGUCAAUGUCAUUAAAAUAACUGUCAAAAUUCAGACACCACGAUUUGGAACUCACAUUGAAAUCCGAUCAAGACUUUAACAAAUGACAAGUGCCUUUGGAAAUGCCAGUAAAGGCAGUUGAAAUACAGGAAAAAAAUUUCAGGGUUAUCAAUACUUAAAAAAGAAGGAAAUAGAGGCAGCUGUUUUGCAAACUUUAGAGGCGUUUCUUUAAUCUUGUUUUAAGUAUAAAGAACUCUCUCCACAAGAUUUGAAGCAAUCAAACUUGAGCUAAGAAAAAUUAGACCAUUUAAAAAAUUUUUGGACAACCGCAGGUUUCCGAAGUACUUGGGUGCCAUUAAUUUGAAGACCAUACCCGAUAGUUGAGUAAUCUUUGCCUCUAUAUUCUUCAUUUUUUUCUGAUUCAUUUUUGUGACUUAUCUGUCUCCCAAAAUUACAUUGGCGACUUGCACCAGUGUUUUUUCCCGCUAUUUUCUUCCUUUCUUUCCUGGUUGAGGAAGGAAAGGUGAUCUCUGAACUAUCCUACUGUUUUUAGUUUUUAUUUACAGACCACGUACCAUUUUAAGUUGUUAGUGUAUUGUGCAUUUAGGUUGAUUGAGUAGUUCUAUCACAGUAUUAACAAAUAGAAAAAGAGGAAAGAAGUAAUUUGUUCAAUACCUUAAAUGAGCUAUGAACUGACAAAAGGUGUCUUCUUAGGAUGCUUUUCCGAUGGAACUUCUUAUCACAAAUCUGACACUCAAAUUCUGGCUCUCCUAAAAAUUUGCAGAACAAAAUUACAUUAAAAUAAAAUUAGAGGCUUCGAGUAUUUUAACUUCUCCCUUCACAUGUCAAAACUAGGGAUCCCCAUUAACUCAUGAUAAGUGAGCCCAGGUACGACAGUUAGAAUGCUUACAAAGAAGGAAAUCCAUCAGUGUAUUAAAAUUUCUCUCACAGCACAGAAAACUCAACAGAAUUGUAACUAAGUUAACGACAAAUUUUAAAUAAAGGCAUUUAUCAUAA